rnacentral:misc_RNA from 1 species
GUGAAUCAUCGAAUCUUUGAACGCACAUUGCGCCCUUUGGUAUUCCUUAGGGCAUGCCUGUUCGAGCGUCAUUUACACCUUCAAGCACAGCUUGGUGUUGGGCGUCUGUCUUUUUUAGACUCGCCUCAAAAGAAUUGGCAGCCACUUCAGCGGCUUAGAGCGCAGCAGAAUUGCGUCUUCUAGUAGCGGAAGGUGGCAUCCAAAAGCUUCCUUUUAUUUUGACCUCGGAUCAGGUAGGGAUACCCGCUGAACUUAAGCAUAUCAAUAAGCGGAGGA